rfam:TPA: Bos taurus chromosome 11, whole genome shotgun sequence.
UCCUUAGUGGCUCAGACGGUUAAAAAUCUGCCUGCAAUGCAGAAGACCCAGGUUUGAUUCCUGGGUCAGGAA